UCAUGCCCCUUAUGAUUUGGGCUACACACGUGCUACAAUGGACAAUACAAAGGGCAGCGAAACCGCGAGGUCAAGCAAAUCCCAUAAAGUUGUUCUCAGUUCGGAUUGUAGUCUGCAACUCGACUACAUGAAGCUGGAAUCGCUAGUAAUCGUAGAUCAGCAUGCUACGGUGAAUACGUUCCCGGGUCUUGUACACACCGCCCGUCACACCACGAGAGUUUGUAACACCCGAAGCCGGUGGAGUAACCUUUUAGGAGCUAGCCGUCGAAGGUGGGACAAAUGAUUGGGGUGAAGUCGUAACAAGGUAGCCGUAUCGGAAGGUGCGGCUGGAUCACCUCCUUU
rnacentral:rRNA from 1 species